rnacentral:rRNA from 1 species
UACGGAGGGUGCAAGCGUUAUCCGGAUUUACUGGGUUUAAAGGGUGCGCAGGCGGAUAUGUAAGUCAGUGGUGAAAUCUCUGGGCUUAACCCGGAAAUUGCCAUUGAUACUAUAUAUCUUGAAUGCUGUGGAGGUAAGCGGAAUAUGUCAUGUAGCGGUGAAAUGCUUAGAGAUGACAUAGAACACCUAUUGCGAAGGCAGCUUACUACGCAGAGAUUGACGCUCAUGCACGAAAGCGUGGGGAGUCAAACAGGA